rnacentral:rRNA from 1 species
CAAGUCGAACGGCAGCGGGGGCUUCGGCCUGCCGGCGAGUGGCGAACGGGUGAGUAAUGCAUCGGAACGUACCCAGUCGUGGGGGAUAACUACGCGAAAGCGUAGCUAAUACCGCAUACGCCCUGAGGGGGAAAGCGGGGGACCUUCGGGCCUUGCGCUAUCAGAUGAGCCUAGGUCGGAUUAGCUAGUUGGUGAGGUAAUGGCUCACCAAGGCGACGAUCCGUAACUGGUCUGAGAGGAUGAUCAGUCACACUGGAACUGAGACACGGUCCAGACUCCUACGGGAGGCAGCAGUGGGGAAUAUUGGACAAUGGGCGAAAGCCUGAUCCAGCCAUGCCGCGUGUGUGAAGAAGGUCUUCGGAUUGUAAAGCACUUUAAGUUGGGAGGAAGGGCAGUAACUUAAUACGUUGCUGUUUUGACGUUACCGACAGAAUAAGCACCGGCUAACUCUGUGCCAGCAGCCGCGGUAAUA